UACGUAGGGUGCGAGCGUUAAUCGGAAUUACUGGGCGUAAAGCGUGCGCAGGCGGUUCGUCGUGUCCGAUGUGAAAGCCCCGGGCUCAACCUGGGAAUGGCAUUGGAAACUGGCGGACUCGAGUGUGGCAGAGGGGGUGGAAUUCCGCGUGUAGCAGUGAAAUGCGUAGAGAGUGCGAGGAACACCGAUGGCGAAGGCAGCCCCCUGGGCUAACACUGACGCUCAGGCACGAAAGCGUGGGGAGCAAACAGG
rnacentral:rRNA from 1 species